rnacentral:rRNA from 1 species
UACGGAGGGAGCUAGCGUUGUUCGGAAUUACUGGGCGUAAAGCGCGCGUAGGCGGCUUUGUAAGUUAGAGGUGAAAGCCCGGGGCUCAACUCCGGAAUUGCCUUUAAGACUGCAUCGCUAGAAUCCGGGAGAGGUGAGUGGAAUUCCGAGUGUAGAGGUGAAAUUCGUAGAUAUUCGGAAGAACACCAGUGGCGAAGGCGACUAACUGGACAUGUAUUGACGCUGAGGUACGAAAGCGUGGGGAGCAAACAGG